rnacentral:rRNA from 1 species
GAGUUUGAUCAUGGCUCAGGAUUAACGCUGGCGGUAUGCCUAACACAUGCAAGUCGAACGGAAUACUCGAAAAGAGAAUCUCACACUAGUGAGAGGUUCUCCAACCGAGUAUUUAGUGGCGGACGGGUGAGUAACACGUUGGAACCUGCCCCGAAGUGGGGAAUAACUGCUCGAAAGAGUAGCUAAUACCCCAUAGUAUCCGGUUUAUCCGGAUUAAAGAUUUAUCGCUUCGGGAGGGGCCUGCGUCUGAUUAGCUUGUUGGUGAGGUAAAAGCUCACCAAGGCGACGAUCAGUAGCUGGUUCGAGAGGAUGACCAGCCACACUGGGACUGAGAUACGGCCCAGACUCCUACGGGAGGCAGCAGUGAGGAAUCUUCCACAAUGGACGAAAGUCUGAUGGAGCAAUACCGCGUGCAGGAAGACGCUUUUCGGAGUGUAAACUGCUUUUGUCGUCGAAGAUUAUGACUGUAGACGAAGAAUAAGGACCGGCUAACUACGUG